UCAAGCUUUUGCAAGUUCCAGUUAUGAAUAGUAAACGAUCAUAUAUUGACAUUGGGCUUCCUGUGUGACGGUGAAAUUCAGCAGCUUCCAUUGACCAAAUAUGGUCACUACACUGUUGGGUGUAGGGCCUUAAGGUACCCAGGGAAAUCAUGGUCUCUUGACCAAAUACAUUCAAGUUCGAUUUUGCCCUGCUUGCUUGGCGACCGGGUUGUAGUUGGUGUUUGAUCUGCUGGCGUAGCGAAGCAAAUGAAAAUUAGAAUAUUCAUCUGAUAGGAGCGCAAUAGCAUUCAUGUGUAGUUAUAAGCCCUUGUCGAAUAAAAUAAAAGAAACUCUA